rnacentral:lncRNA from 1 species
CUAGAAAGUAAAUACACUGCCAGAAUAUCUUCCAUGUAUUCAUUAAUUCAACAGAUAUCUAUUGGAUGCUGAUGAUUAUGAAACAAAGUAGCAAAGAUAAGAAGCCAUUUGCUCAUUCUGCUCCUUUGCCAGCAAUAUUUCACAAAGCCCCUGACUCAUUGACUGUGAGCAGCCUUGUGGAAGAAUGCCUUGAAGACCAUAAGCAGGAUAGGGAAUAGGUUUGCACAUCUCUUGCCUGAAUCACUGAAUUUUUACAAAAGAGUCUACAGAAGGAACACAGCUCUACCAAUCCAAUUUGGACUUCAGACCUUCAGAGGUGCCAGGUAAUACAUUUGCUUUAUUUUAAGCCACUAAAUUUGUGGUUACUUAUUAUGGUAGCAAUAGGAAACUAAUACAGGUACCUCAACUGUUAGCCGUGGUUACUCCCUAGAGGUUUGGAAAUGAAGAUCAGAGUUGAAGAGGACUUUUAUUCUCCAUUGUUCAUGUUAUUUGAACUGUUAUCAUGGAUUUAUGUUGGUUUUAUUAUGGAUCUAUAUUGCUUCUUAAAUAAAAAUAAUUAAGAGCAGAAGUAGCUAAUAUUAAGUGAAAAGAUAGUGUAGAAAAUUGUAUAAAGGGUAAUUGUUCAACCAUGAAAAAAUAGAAAAAAAAUAAGAAGGAAACUUACUAAAAUGUUAUCCAGUUGUUUUUCCUGAGUAUUAAGAGUGUGCAUGUUCUAUUUUCAUUUAUCCUCUGAGUCACUCAAGUUAUUCAUUAAGCAUCUACUCUGUGUUAAAGAAUGUGCUAGGAACUGAGAAUGCAGUGGGGAAUAAGAGAGACACAAUUUCUGCCCUCAUGGAACAAGGCAGAUUAAACAGAUGAUCAGACAAAUUAUUAAUUAAUUAUAUUGUAAUAAGUUCAAUAUAGGCAAGAUACAGACUGAAAUCACCAUGCACUAGGGCAACAUAACGUAGUCAGGGAAUGCUUUCCUAAGGAAUUUCAGCUUGGAAUUAAAUGAGAAUUUUCCAGUCAGAGACAGGAAAUAAAAUUUUUUACAAAGAGGACAUACCCCCUUUUUAUCAGGAGAAAAAUGAACAUUUUAAAUUUUUUUUAAAAAGAAAUAGUUAACAUUUCUCUAUCCUUUUAUAUCUGGUAACAGCAGCUGCUCAGUGCUGGAAAUGGUCUGCUUUUUCUGCUUGAUUUAGCCAAAUUCAGUUUAAUGAUCAGACUUUUUUUUCUCUUGUUCAAGCACUUCAGGCAAAUGAAAUAUUUAAGUGAAUAAAUUGAGGCCACUAGACAAAAAAGUAAAAUAAUAAUGGUUAAAUAUCUUCCGUAUCCAGAGCUCACAUUAUUAAACUAUUAGAUCUAAUACUUUUUGGUUGUCAAUCUAUCAAAAAAAGCUUGUGAUAGGCCCUUAAUAUUGAUUGACCUUGACAGAAAUAAGACCCGGUGUCUUUGCCAGUUGAAGUUCUGUUUUUAUCCAACCAAAACUAAGAAACACAAAUGAAGAAGCAAAGAACAAGAAUUAUUUUGAAAUCGACAUAAAAUGUAUCACUAAUCGAAUUUUUCUCAAAAGAAUUUCAUAGAUGAAAUCUGUAUCACUGGGUACUAAAAAUUAAGAAUUUCAAAUUUCU